CCUUUUGCAGCCCUCUAGCCCUUUCCAGGACGUUUUUAGAGGCAUUUUUGUGCCCAAAAGUUCAGGUCCCCAUUGACUUCAAUGGGGUUAGGGGUCAAGUUCGAUCCCGAACCCGGACUUUUUUUCAAAGUUCGGCCAGACCCGAACAUCCAGGUGUCUGCUCAACUCUAGUUAUGCUCAUGUGGUUUGAAGUACGUAGGCAAAACAUUUCGCCCCUUUAAGCUUUGCAUAAGAGAACACAUUAACUCCAACAAAUAUUACAAAGGUACAUUUCUCAGUAUGUACCGUUGGGAAAUAAAUAUAAAAG